CACUAAGCGGAGGAAAAGAAACUAACGAGGAUUCCCCUAGUAACGGCGAGUGAACGGGGAACAGCCCAUCGCCGAAGCCCCCGUCCGAAAAGGGCGGCGGGCAAUGUGGCGUUCGGGAGGAGCCAUUCCUUCAGUCCGCGGAAGCCCAAGUCCCCCUGACCGGGGCCAUCGCCCGAGGAGGGUGCAAGGCCCGUGCGGCUUCUUUGUCGGCUGGAGGACGGCUCUCUUCCCUCGAGUCGGGUUGCUUGGGAGUGCAGCCCUAAGUCGGUGGUAAACUCCACCUAAGGCUAAAUACUGCCACGAGACCGAUAGCGAACAAGUACCAUGAGGGAAAGUUGCAAAGAACUUUGAAGAGAGAGUUCAAGAGUACGUGAAACCGCUCGGAGGCAAACGGGUGGGCCCUCGAAGGUCGAACGGGGGGAUUCAACCGGUCGUCGGACUCUGCGGGUUGCGAUCUCUCAAAAGUUGACGGAUCCGAGGGACCGGAUCGCAACCUUGGUGAACCGCGGAGGACGGCCGGCGCACUUCCCCCUCAGUAGGACGCCGCGACCGGUCGGGAUUUGACGGUCAUAAGGGCAAGGUAGGCAGGUAUCCGGUAGGUCGGCUUCCCAUCCUCGUGGUGGGGGCUCCUGCCGGAGUUAUAGCCUCACCGAACGUCCCUGGCUCCGUCGCCCGACCGAGGCCACAAAACGAGACCCUUGCCAGCGUAUUAUGCCCGACUAGCGACAGGCGUGGCUUUCGGUUCUGCCGGACGCCCGAAGAGGCGGUCGGUGUCCGUCUGCCCGCUGUUGGUUGCGGGGGUUUACACGCUGUUAGCGACCGGAGGUCUGCGGCGAGUAGGUCGGUCGCCCACCCGACCCNNNCUGAAACACGGACCAAGGAGUCUAACAUGUACGCGAGUCAAUGGGGAUCUGUCGAGACCCACAGGCGCAAUGAAAGUGAAGGUCUUCCCUAGAUGUCGACCGUGGCGGGAUCCGUCCAAACCGGGCGUAGAGGCUGUAACAGGCUGAACCCCGGCGGCGCACCGCCGGCCCGUCGUGACCGCAUCGCCGGUGCGGCGGAGCAAGAGCGUACACGUUGGGACCCGAAAGAUGGUGAUCUAUGCUUGGGCAGGACGAAGCCAGAGGAAACUCUGGUGGAGGUCCGUAGCGAUUCUGACGUGCAAAUCGAUCGUCGGACCUGAGUAUAGGGGCGAAAGACUAAUCGAACCGUCUAGUAGCUGGUUCCCUCCGAAGUUUCCCUCAGGAUAGCUGGCGCUCGGAACGRAACGCAGUCUCAUCCGGUAAAGCGAAUGAUUAGAGGCCUUGGGGYCGAAACGAUCUCAACCUAUUCUCAAACUUUAAAUGGGUGAGAAGUCUGGCUUGCUCGAAUUGAAGCCCRGACGUUGGAUGCGAGUGCCUAGUGGGCCACUUUUGGUAAGCAGAACUGGCGCUGUGGGAUGAACCAAACGCCGGGUUAAGGCGCCAAAUGCAGACGCUCAUCGGACCCCAUGAAAGGUGUUGGUUGCUAUAGACAGCAGGAAAGUGGCCAUGGAAUUUGGAA
rnacentral:rRNA from 1 species